rnacentral:piRNA from 1 species
UGUAUGCCCAGCAUUCCUGCCAACUUCC